rnacentral:rRNA from 1 species
CCUACGGGAGGCAGCAGUGGGGAAUAUUGCACAAUGGGGGAAACCCUGAUGCAGCGACGCCGCGUGAGUGAAGAAGUAUUUCGGUAUUUAAAGCUCUAUCAGCAGGAACGAGACAAGACGGUACCUGACUAAGAAGCCCCGGCUAACUACGUGCCAGCAGCCGCGGUAAUACGUAGGGGGCAAGCGUUAUCCGGAAUCACUGGGUGUAAAGGGAGCGUAGACGGCUGAGGAAGCCUGAAGUGAAAGGCGGGGGCCCAACCCCAGGACUGCUUUGGGAACUGGACGGCUGGAGUGCAGGUGAGGUAAGUGGAAUUCCUAGUGUAGCGGUGAAAUGCGUAGAUAUUAGGAAGAACACCAGUGGCGAAGGCAGCUUACUGGACUAUAACUGACGUUGAGGCUCGAAAGCGUGGGGAGCAAACAGGAUUAGAUACCCUGGUAGUC